rnacentral:rRNA from 1 species
AUUGAACGCUGGCGGCAUGCCUUACACAUGCAAGUCGAACGGUAACGGGCCUUCGGGUGCCGACGAGUGGCGAACGGGUGAGUAAUACAUCGGAACGUGCCCGAUCGUGGGGGAUAACGAGGCGAAAGCUUUGCUAAUACCGCAUACGAUCUACGGAUGAAAGCCGGGGACCGCAAGGCCUUGCGCGGACGGAGCGGCCGAUGGCAGAUUAGGUAGUUGGCGGGAUAAAAGCUUACCAAGCCGACGAUCUGUAGCUGGUCUGAGAGGAUGAUCAGCCACACUGGGACUGAGACACGGCCCAGACUCCUACGGGAGGCAGCAGUGGGGAAUUUUGGACAAUGGGCGCAAGCCUGAUCCAGCCAUGCCGCGUGCAGGAUGAAGGCCUUCGGGUUGUAAACUGCUUUUGUACGGAACGAAAAGCCUUCUUUUAAUACAGGAGGGUCAUGACGGUACCGUAAGAAUAAGCACCGGCUAACUACGUG